rnacentral:rRNA from 1 species
UGGCGGACGGGUGAGUAAUGUCUGGGAAACUGCCUGGUGGAGGGGGAUAACUACUGGAAACGGUAGCUAAUACCGCAUAACGUCGCAAGACCAAAGAGGGGGACCUUCGGGCCUCUUGCCAUCGGAUGUGCCCAGAUGGGAUUAGCUAGUGGGUGGGGUAACGGCUCACCUAGGCGACGAUCCCUAGCUGGUCUGAGAGGAUGACCAGCCACACUGGAACUGAGACACGGUCCAG